rnacentral:rRNA from 1 species
AUUGAACGCUGGCGGCAGGCCUAACACAUGCAAGUCGAGCGGAUGAAGGGAGCUUGCUCCUGGAUUAAGCGACGGACGGGUGAGUAAUGCAUAGGAAUAUGCCUGGUAGUGGGGGAUAACGUCCGGAAACGGGCCCUAAUACCGCAUACGACCUGAGGGAGAAAGUGGGGGAUCUUCGGACCUCACGCUAUCAGAUGACCCUAGGUCGGAUUAGCUAGUUGGUGGGGUAAAGGCCUACCAAGGCGACGAUCCGUAACUGGUCUGAGAGGAUGAUCAGUCACACUGGAACUGAGACACGGUCCAGACUCCUACGGGAGGCAGCAGUAGGGAAUAUUGGGCAAUGGGCGAAAGCCUGAUCCAGCCAUGCCGCGUGUGUGAAGAAGGUCUUCGGAUUGUAAAGCUCUUUAAGUUGGGAGGAAGGGCAGUAAGUUAAAACCUUGCUGUUUUGACGUUACCAACAGAGUAAGCACCGGCUAACUACGUG